UUCAUUUUGAACAUGUCACCAGGGACUUUGGAAUGUGUAUCCAUAACUCCCUGAUUUUCAACCACAUUCCAGCCUGCCUGACUCAUGAAGCGUGGAGCGACCCAGGAACAUCCCAGCUCCUCAUGUCCCACAUUCUUCAGGCUUUCUCUUAGUUUUGGCAUGUGCAUGUAAAUGUCAACAGGCAUGGUGGCUCACACGUGUAAUCCUAGCACUUUGGGAGGCUGAGGCAGGUGGAUCACCUGAGGUCAGGAGUUCAAGACUAGCCUGGUCAACAUGGCGAAACCCGUCUCUACUAAAAAUACGAAAUUAGCCAGGCGUGGUGGCGGGCGCCAGUAAUCCCAGCUACUCAGGAGGCUGAAGCAGGAGAAUCGCUUGAACCUCAGAGGCAGAGCUUGCAGUGAGCCGAGAUCACACCACUACACUCCAGCCUGGAUGACAGAGUGAGACUCCGUCUCAAAAAAAAAAAUAAAUAAAUAAAUAAAAAUAAAAUGUCUUGUUCUCUUUUUUCCUCCAGUGCCCAGAUCAG
rnacentral:lncRNA from 1 species